rnacentral:rRNA from 1 species
GGAAUUUUGGGCAAUGGGCGAAAGCCUGACCCAGCAACGCCGCGUGAAGGAUGAAAUCCUUCGGGAUGUAAACUUCGCAAGAACGGGAAGAAUAAGCCUGUGCCAACACCACAGGCGAUGACGGUACCGUUUGUAAGCUCCGGCUAACUCCGUGCCAGCAGCCGCGGUAAUACGGGGGGAGCAAGCGUUGUUCGGAUUUACUGGGCGUAAAGGGCGCGUAGGCGGCCAUCGCAAGUCAGUUGUGAAAUCUCCGGGCUUAACUCGGAAAGGUCAACUGAUACUGCGAGGCUAGAGUGCAGAAGGGGCAACUGGAAUUCUCGGUGUAGCGGUGAAAUGCGUAGAUAUCGAGAGGAACACCGGUGGCGAAGGCGGGUUGCUGGGCUGACACUGACGCUGAGGCGCGAAAGCGUGGGUAGCGAAC